CGAGUCUCUUUCCCGCUCUGGCCGCACGGCUCGCUCCACCGCCUCCUCCCCCUUCGGCGGGCACCGCUAGUACCGCGCAACCAAACCGCCCCCUGCACCGCCGCCUCCUCCUCCUGGCCGCUCCGCCCACAGUCAGCAAGCAACUACAAAGGCUAACUUUCGAAUAUGGGGUGCCACAAUUUAUAAGAACCCUGAACCCUUGAGUCUCCACUUGAAGAAGAGCCUCCCUGACCUACAUACAAAGUGAUACCAUGAGCACUUUCAGGAGAAAUCAGAGAAUGUCCGAGGAAUACCAAUAAUCCAGUUGGAUGGAAAAAAAAAAAAAUCAUCAGAGGAACAGCAACAAUCAAAGCUGGAAAGGGAAACCAGUUGGCCCACUAUGAGGGGGUGAGUCAGCGACAGUCAAGAGGCCAUUUUAUCAAGCUCACACUGGGAAAAUCAGUUUUUACCAGAGAGCCCAAAAACAGAUAGACACUGAGGACUCACCAGAUCAAAUCAAGACGGGUCAAGCCAAUUAAAAACAAAACGAAACAAAAACACUGCUUGAGCAUGAGCUGUGUUCCAGGCACAGCUGGAAAUUCCUGCCCCAGAGAGCUUGUUUGCCGGGAGUACACAGGACAGAAACCCAGAAAAUACGAGGAAGUAAUGGCUGGCAUACGAUGGGUGCCCAACUACUGGAAGACAGUGAUUUUCAGAAACCUGUUCAUCAGGGACACUUCAAGUAGAGGUCAAGCAGACUGGAGAUCAGAGGUGCAAACGUGCUCUGCAGAAAGGGGAAGUUGUAUGAAGCCCGCGAAGGCAGAGACCCGGCUAGAGACCCAGCCCGAAUGGAAGACAGCUGGAAACCAGAAUCCAAGCCCUUCCCAGCUACCUCUGUGGACUCGGCAGACGGGGACUUGGAUCUUUCCUGCCUAACGGAUACUUCCUGGGCUGCUGAGGGGUGCUGGCUGGGGGCCGAUGGCUUGUGGUUUCUCCUUGAGGUUUCCGUGGAGUCAAAACAACACAUGGACUUUGAUCUCUCUUCAGCAGUUGGCAGAAAGCUCAAUUCCAAGCAGAGGCCAAAUCAACUUUUGAGGACUAAUCCCUCAGCCUCCCCACUGUCAGGGACAGCCACUUCUGGAAGCUUCACAUCUAAUUCAGGCUGCAAAAAGCAGCCUUGAAUUCUUAUUUCUAUCACCCACUAAAUCCAUUCAAUUGCCUUCCCUUUUCUUAACUUUGAAAUAGCUUCAAUUACCCGGCAUACAAUAGUCACCUGGGUUUAAUUUUUUUUUUUUCUUUUUUGAGGGGAACUCAUUUUAGCUAAGCAAUUACAAACAAUCGCUUGAUUAUAUUUCUAAAUGCUUUUGACACAAGCAACUGCUUCUUUUCCAAAGCAUGCACUGAGCUAUCAGAACAUUGUAAUAUUUCCCUCCCCCAGCAGUUUUGCCUGGAUCUCACCCACUGAAGAAACCAACUGUAAAUAUUUGACAUUCCUUGUACUUCUGGUAGUCCGCACUGUUUAGCCUUCUGGGGCUCUCCAUUUCAGUUUUAAGCCUCCAGGGAAAAUGGAAAGAAAAGGCUGGGGUAUGUUUUAGGCCCUGAAACUUUGCUUCUUUAUAAAUAGUCACCCCUUGGGGCACCUGGGUGGCUCGGUCGGUUAAGCAUCAGGUCAUGAUCUCAUGGUUUGUGGGUUCGAGCCCCAUGUCAGGCUCUGUGCUGACGACUCAGAGCCUGGAGCCUGCUUCAGAUACUGUGUCUCCCUCUCUCUCUGCCCCUCCCCUGCUUGCACUCUGUCUCUCUCAAAAAUAAAUAAACAUUAAAAGAAAUUUUUUAAUAAAAAAUUUCAUAAAAAGUAAAAUAAUAGUCAUCCCUUGAGGGAUGCAUGUUAGGAUGUUGCCAUAGUUUAGGUUUCUAAUAAAGCUUUUUGUGUGUGUUUGGUAAAAUAGAUAUACGUAAAUUUUACCCUUUUAACCAUUUUUAAGCAUACAAUUCUGUGGCAUCACAUACAUUCACAAUGCAGUGCAAUCUUUGGCACUAUCCAUUUUCAGAUCUUUUUCAUCAUCUGAAACAGAAGCUCUGUACCCAUUAAAUAGUAGUAACUCCCCAUUAUCCUCUCCUCCAGUCUCUGGUAACCACUAGUCUAUUUUCUAACUCUGUGAAUUUGACUAUUCUAAGUACCUCAUUUAAGUAGAAUCAGAUAAUAUUUGUCCUUUGAUGUCUGACUUAAUUUCACUUAGUGUAACGUCUUGAAGGUUGAUCCAUAUGGUAGCAUAUAUUAGACUUUCAUCCCUUUUUGUAGAUCCCAUUGCGUGUAUAUAUGCCCCAUGUUGUUUAUCCACUCAUCUGUUGGUGGACACUUGGGUUAUUUCCAUUUUUUGCCUAGUGUCUAAUAAAGUUUAACAUAAUAAA